AAUCAGUUUGGUAGUCAUUUUAAUGUAACUAAAAUAUGCAGGCCACGAUUUCUUAUGCUUUGCCUCUCGAUAAGCGCAUGCGCACAGCACACACAGCAUACCCAUCCCCCACCCCUGACUGACUUUUCAACGAACUCCUUGCCACUGGUGGUGACUUCAACCGUCACUUUUCUGUCAUGCAUCUGAGGCAAGCUGUACAAACUCUGCCGUCAUCAUAUCCAAGGCAGUGAGUUGUGAGGACUGCUUCCCUGAGAACACUGAGUGCAUUCUGGAAUAUUCCAAAUGUGUGCCACUUCCAUACAAAAUAAGUUGCCAUGAAGCCAUGGCUGCUGCCCUCAACAUGCUAAACUAAAACCCUCACAAAUAAACUGAUAUCAAUAAUUAACAUUGAUGGUGAUGGUGGCAAGGGUGCCUUCAUAAGGUGCCAUCCAGCAAGUCCCAGCCUGGCACUGCACGUCAGAUGGGGGAGGAUCUAUGUUAGGCAUCAGAAAGGUGGUUUAAGCAAGAAGGAAAGAGCUUCUGCAGACAGUGUUGCAAUUAGAUACCUGACUUUUACUGCCAAAGGGACCAUCAGAGCACCUCUCCCUACCAUCUAUACCAGAAGAGUACGGACAAGGGCCCAAAAUGUUUUAAAGGACGUUGCACGCCCAGACCAUGGACUGUUUAAAGUACUGUGGUCAAGCAGAAGUCUCUGUUCUCACUCGAGGCAGGUCAUUGAGAGGGGGCGAGUGUCACUGCGUAAGCCCCCUACUGCAGGCGAGAAAGCCGUGUUGAUUUGAAUAUUGAUUGAUAAAUACAAUAAAGGCCAUGUAACAAAUUUUAUUGCCUGUCGUACAGUAUAUGAAUUUUCAUGGUAAAGUAAAAUAAGUCAUUG